GCAGGCGGCCUGACUACCCUCUG
rnacentral:siRNA from 1 species